GCCCUGGCAGUCAGAGGCGAUGAAGGACGUGCUAAUCUGCGAUAAGCGUCGGUAAGGUGAUAUGAACCGUUAUAACCGGCGAUUUCCGAAUGGGGAAACCCAGUGUGUUUCGACACACUAUCAUUACGUGAAUACAUAGCGUAAUGAAGCGAACCGGGGGAACUGAAACAUCUAAGUACCCCGAGGAAAAGAAAUCAACCGAGAUUCCCCCAGUAGCGGCGAGCGAACGGGGAGCAGCCCAGAGUCUGAAUCAGCUUGUGUGUUAGUGGAACGGUCUGGAAAGUCCGACGGUACAGGGUGAUAGUCCCGUACACCAAAAUGCACAGGUUGUGAACUCGAAGAGUAGGGCGGGACACGUGGUAUCCUGUCUGAAUAUGGGGGGACCAUCCUCCAAGGCUAAAUACUCCUGACUGACCGAUAGUGAACCAGUACCGUGAGGGAAAGGCGAAAAGAACCCCGGCGAGGGGAGUGAAAAAGAACCUGAAACCGUGUACGUACAAGCAGUGGGAGCACCUUCGGGUGUGACUGCGUACCUUUUGUAUAAUGGGUCAGCGACUUAUAUUCUGUAGCAAGGUUAACCGUAUAGGGGAGCCGAAGGGAAACCGAGUCUUAACUGGGCGUUAAGUUGCAGGGUAUAGACCCGAAACCCGGUGAUCUAGCCAUGGGCAGGUUGAAGGUUGGGUAACACU
rnacentral:rRNA from 1 species